AUGCUCGCUUCGACAGCACACAUACUAGACUUGGAAUGACAGAAGAUUAGCAUGGCCCCUGAGCAAGAAGGACAUGCAAAUUCGUGAAAGGUUCCAUAUUUUU